rnacentral:rRNA from 1 species
CACGUAGGGCGCGAGCGUUGUCCGGAAUUAUUGGGCGUAAAGAGCUCGUAGGCGGCCUGUUGCGUCCGCUGUGAAAGCCCGGGGCUUAACCCCGGGUCUGCAGUGGAUACGGGCAGGCUAGAGGUAGGUAGGGGAGAAUGGAAUUCCCGGUGUAGCGGUGAAAUGCGCAGAUAUCGGGAGGAACACCGGUGGCGAAGGCGGUUCUCUGGGCCGUACCUGACGCUGAGGAGCGAAAGCGUGGGGAGCGAACAGG